CAUCAAAUUUAGAAACAAGAUUAGAAACCUAAAUGUCCUAAAUUAAACUAUUUUAAGUUCUAAAAUUUCGCGCCAGGAUACCAGCCGUUUCGCCAUUUUGUAGGUACCCGUCUACUUUCUGGUCCGCCUUCAUUUUAACAAUCAGAUCACGAUCCAAAAAAGCUCGUAAUCUGAUUGGCUAAAUGAAGUGAUCGGUUAAUCCUACCAAGCUUGGAAGCAGUCUGGGUAAUUGUCGAGCUGCCUCGUCCCCAGGCGGUAUAAAAUAAUGUGACCCAUGCACAAGUAAAUAAAAUUAACUGCAACGGCAAAACAAAAUAAACUCACGGGAAAAUAAAGUUAACUAACUGCAAAACGAAAUUAACUCAGGGCAAAAUUAAUUUAUUAUUAAUAACGCGUAGUUGGAGAUCCCGCGACUGACAGCACUUCUAGUUCAGUCGUAAUAAAAAUUAGCAUUUAUAAGUCGCCGUUUUGUUUUUGCCUAGACGUUUGAACUUUCGAAAGUCCGAACAUUUUAGGAUGCCCGGACGUUUUGGGAGUUUUUGUAGAAAUGUAAAGCAAUAUUCUCUUAUUACUUUCAAUUUUCUGAUGAAACAUAGAUAUAUACAUAUAGUGUCCCUCCUUCUCGCCAUUUUUGGGACCUUAUAAUAGGCAUACAUAAAGUACUUCCCAGGUGUUAUUUCCCGCCAAAUUUGUCACGUGGUCGAAAAAUUGAAUUUAUAAACAUCUUGAGUUUACAACAUGGCUGCUGUUGACUACAACGAUGAGAAAGGUAUUUCAGCAAAUCUUUACCUCAUUUUAACCAAAGUAACAGUUAAAAUAACUACUAUUAAAAUAUAUACUUGUAGAAAGUGUUUAUACCGUUUUAGUUUGCAAUGUAGAGUCCAGAUUAUAAAUAUUUAGCCAUUGAGUUCUCAGCGUGCAUAAUUUUCGUAAUUUUGUUUUCUGUUGACUAGAUAACGCCAAAAGGUUUUUAGCUGAAUUUUACGUAGAUGGCCCUGAUGGUAAAGAAUUUAAAUAUGGAGAACAGCUGGU